rnacentral:rRNA from 1 species
UUCGUAGGGGGCAAGCGUUGUCCGGAAUCAUUGGGCGUAAAGAGCGUGUAGGCGGUCCGGUAAGUCGGCUGUGAAAGUCCAGGGCUCAACCCUGGGAUGCCGGUCGAUACUGCCGGACUAGAGUUCGGAAGAGGCGAGUGGAAUUCCCGGUGUAGCGGUGAAAUGCGAAGAUAUCGGGAGGAACACCUAUGGCGAAGGCAGCUCGCUGGGACGUUACUGACGCUGAGACGCGAAAGCGUGGGGAGCAAACAGG